UGGGGAAUUUUGGACAAUGGGCGAAAGCCUGAUCCAGCAAUGCCGCGUGUGUGAAGAAGGCCUUCGGGUUGUAAAGCACUUUUGUCCGGAAAGAAAUCCUUGGCUCUAAUACAGUCGGGGGAUGACGGUACCGGAAGAAUAAGCACCGGCUAACUACGUGCCAGCAGCCGCGGUAAUACGUAGGGUGCAAGCGUUAAUCGGAAUUACUGGGCGUAAAGCGUGCGCAGGCGGUUUGCUAAGACCGAUGUGAAAUCCCCGGGCUCAACCUGGGAACUGCAUUGGUGACUGGCAGGCUAGAGUAUGGCAGAGGGGGGUAGAAUUCCACGUGUAGCAGUGAAAUGCGUAGAGAUGUGGAGGAAUACCGAUGGCGAAGGCAGCCCCCUGGGCCAAUACUGACGCUCAUGCACGAAAGCGAUGGGGAGCAAACGAGGAUUAGAUACCCUGGUAGUCCAGCGCCCUAAACGAUGUCAACUAGUUGUUGGGGAUUGCAUUUCCUUAGUAACGUAGCUAACGCGUGAAGUUGACCGCCUGGGGAGUACGGUCGCAAGAUUAAAACUCAAAUGAAUUGACGGGGUCAUAGCUGUUUCCU
rnacentral:rRNA from 1 species